rnacentral:lncRNA from 1 species
AACUUUGUAUAUAGCUAAUAUAUCCAAAAUCAAACAGAAAGUAUAUGUCCAAAACUAUACUCCAUAAACUAGUUAAAAUUUUAAGAAAUAUUUAUGCCAGACAUGUAAUAAAGCUGGAAAUUUAAAAACUUACAACUUUGUAUAUAGCUUAUAUAUCCAAAAUCAAACAGAAAGUAUAUGCUCAAAACAAUACUCCAUAUGAUAAACUAGUUAAAAUUUGAAGAAAUAUUAAUGCCAAAAUUUUAAAACUUACAACUUUGUAUAUAGCUUAAUAUGUUAUUACAGGUGGACUACAACUCAUUCAGAUGCUGUAAAUUUCUGCAAUUAACCCUUGCAUCAAACUCUAUUGAAAGAAGUAAGCAUCAGAUUUCAAAUUUGGAUAAAGAUGUUGGAUACACAAAGCACAAUUAAUGUGUCGCAUUAUUGACAAUUUGAUGAAAUAGUCUCGAGGAAAUAGUACACUGCAAAUGUCGUAAAUCAUUUUUUUUUCAGUUUUAAAAAAUGUAGAAAAGACAAGCGCGCUUCAAUAGUUAUUAACAUAUGUUUGUAUUCUUUUGUUUGCAUUUAACUAUAUAUGUUCACAGCUGUAUAAAUGCCGAUAAAACAACAUGUUGGGAAUUUUGUUUGUAUGUUUAAC